ACUGAGUUGCAAAACUCCAACCAUUGUUAACCUACCUAGUAUCUGUUGCUUCGGCGGGGGCCUUCGCCCUACGCUUACCCCUGCGGGGGAAGCGACCCGCCGGAGGCACUUAAACUCUGUAUUAUUAUGGCUUCUGCUGAGUAUACUUUUAAUAAGUCA
rnacentral:misc_RNA from 1 species